rnacentral:rRNA from 1 species
GACGGAGGAUGCAAGCGUUAUCCGGAAUUAUUGGGCGUAAAGCGUCCGUAGGUGGUUGAAUAAGUCUGCUGUCAAAGACUGUGGCUUAGCUAUGGGAAGGCAGUGGAAACUGAUCGACUAGAGUGUGGAAGGGGUAGAGGGAAUUCCCAGUGUAGCGGUGAAAUGCGUAGAUAUUGGGAAGAACACCAGUGGCGAAGGCGCUCUACUGGGCCAACACUGACACUGAUGGACGAAAGCUAGGGGAGCGAAAGGG